CGAGAGCCCUGUUUCAGUUGGCAUCUUCUCGAGCCAUAGGCGCCCUCCAAAUCGUCCCUGUCUUCAUCCCUCUGGUCCCUCAGAGCGAUCUAGGUUAGUUCCGGCACCUUCAACCUUCUUCCCACCGCUUAGGGACUUCUUCUCUGUCAUUAUUUUUUGUAUUCCUCCGAGUUAGUUUCCUGUGACCUCUCGCCCCUCAUCC
rnacentral:lncRNA from 1 species